UACGUAGGGGGGCAAGCGUUGUCCGGAUUUAUUGGGCGUAAAGGGCGCGUAGGCGGCUUGUACAGUCAGACGUGAAAUUCCUGGGCUCAACCUGGGGGCUGCGUUUGAUACGUGCGGGCUUGAGUUCGGAAGAGGGUCGUGGAAUUCCCAGUGUAGAGGUGAAAUUCGUAGAUAUUGGGAAGAACACCGGUGGCGAAGGCGGCGACCUGGUCCGAUACUGACGCUGAGGCGCGAAAGCGUGGGGAGCAAACAGG
rnacentral:rRNA from 1 species